GCCGCAUCUCUACUUAUUUCGUCACCGCGCCCUCAUCCGAUUCCUCCAUCAAAAGCCCCGGUCCCUGGAGAGCCCAGACCAAGGCAGCCGCCCUUCGUCUCUUCUCCGACGCCAGGAAAUAUGAGCAGGCGUUCGAGCCGAACCCUUUAUGUCGGCAAUCUCCCCGGAGACAUCCGCGAGAGGGAGGUCGAAGAUUUAUUUUACAAGUAUGGGCCCAUUGUUGAUGUUGAUCUGAAGAUUCCUCCAAGGCCUCCAGGUUAUGCUUUUGUCGAGUUUGAAGAUCCCCGUGAUGCUGAAGAUGCAAUUCGUGGUCGUGAUGGAUAUAAUUUUGACGGUCACAGAUUAAGAGUGGAACUUGCACAUGGUGGACGAGGUCAGUCUUCAUCGUUUGACCGCCAUAGCAGUCAUAGCAGUGGUGGACGCCGUGGUGGUGUCUCCAGGCGUUCAGAGUAUCGUGUUCUUGUCACCGGUUUACCUUCAUCUGCAUCUUGGCAAGAUCUAAAGGACCACAUGCGCCGAGCUGGUGAUGUUUGUUUCUCUGAAGUGUUCCGUGAUGGUGGAGGUACUACAGGAAUUGUGGAUUAUACAAACUAUGAAGAUAUGAAAUAUGCGAUCAAGAAGCUUGAUGAUUCUGAGUUUCGGAAUGCAUUUUCUCGGGCAUAUGUAAGGGUAAAGGAGUAUGACUCUAGGAGAAGCUUAUCUAGGAGCCGAAGCCGUAGCCAUUCCUACUCAAGAAGCCGGAGUCCCAGUCGCAGUAGAAGUUACAGCCGGAGCCAGAGCAAGUCUCCAAAGGCAAAAUCAUCACACCAUUCAUUGUCAAGAUCAAGAUCAGUAUCUUCUCGUUCACGCUCAGGAUCAAGGGGACGCUCUUUGUCAAGAUCUGGGCUUAUGCGGCGAUCUGGGGAUUGCAUAUUAGGAUCUUGAUGGGAUUUGGUGCAAAUGCCUGCAACUCUUUUGGUUGUGUGAGCUAAUACCCAUUGGAGUUCGAUGGGGAAGAAAGGAUGGGUUGCAACCAUAGAGCUGGCUUUCCAUGAGCUAUGUGGAACUGGGACUCACCAAAGUGGUAGAAACAAGUUUCGCGUUCAGUCUCCAAUAUUGUCAGAAUUAUAGGACCUGCCGUUGGAUUCUGGAUGUGGAUUCUGGAUGUGGAUUUUGUUGGUACAAUGAAAUAGAUACAUCUCCACUUCAUUAUUCAUUAAAGAUUAUUUUUUGCUCUUUAGGUUCUAAAGUGUAUCCUGUCCUUGGUAGUUCUGAAUAUAGUUGACUUUUGACUAUGGCUUAAGUAUCACCAAUCCUUUUGAUGAUACUUCUUGUACGUCAUAUUUUUGGAUCGUUAUGCAUGUGUUAAAUUUCCUUUGAGAAUUGAAUGCUUUCAAAGCUUUUUUAAGCACCUUAUCCUCCUUUCUAUAUGGUAACUCUGACGUGGAAGAGGCGUUGAAGCUUUUGGAUCAAGCUGUUAAAGCAGCGAUAUGGAUAUUGAAUUCAGUUGUUUCUGGAACUUUUUGCAGAUCACAAUCAAGAUCCAGAUCACCCUUGGCUUCUCCACUGCCUAGUAAACCUGCAAGCAGAAGUCCUAGGAAGAAGAGUCCUAGCAGGAGCAGGAGCAGGGUUUCAUCGAGAUCUCCA